AGUGAACGCUGGCGGUAGGCCUAACACAUGCAAGUCGAACGGCAGCACAGUAAGAGCUUGCUCUUACGGGUGGCGAGUGGCGGACGGGUGAGGAAUACAUCGGAAUCUACUUUUUCGUGGGGAUAACGUAGGGAAACUUACGCUAAUAACGCAUACGACCUACGGGUGAAAGCAAGGGAUCUUCCGACCUUGCGCGAUUGAAUGAGCCGAUGUCGGAUUAGCUAGUUGGCGGGGUAAAGGCCCACCAAGGCGACGAUCCGUAGCUGGUCUGAGAGGAUGAUCAGCCACACUGGAACUGAGACACGGUCCAGACUCCUACGGGAGGCAGCAGUGGGGAAUAUUGGACAAUGGGCGCAAGCCUGAUCCAGCCAUACCGCGUGGGUGAAGAAGGCCUUCGGGUUGUAAAGCCCUUUUGUUGGGAAAGAAAAGCAGCAGGUUAAUACCCCGCUGUUCUGACGGUACCCAAAGAAUAAGCACCGGCUAACUUCGUG
rnacentral:rRNA from 1 species